AGUGAACGCUGGCGGUAGGCCUAACACAUGCAAGUCGAACGGCAGCACAGUAAGAGCUUGCUCUUACGGGUGGCGAGUGGCGGACGGGUGAGGAAUACAUCGGAAUCUACUUUUUCGUGGGGGAUAACGUAGGGAAACUUACGCUAAUACCGCAUACGACCUACGGGUGAAAGCAGGGGAUCUUCGGACCUUGCGCGAUUGAAUGAGCCGAUGUCGGAUUAGCUAGUUGGCGGGGUAAAGGCCCACCAAGGCGACGAUCCGUAGCUGGUCUGAGAGGAUGGUCAGCCACACUGGAACUGAGACACGGUCCAGGCUCCUACGGGAGGCAGCAGUGGGGAAUAUUGGACAAUGGGCGCAAGCCUGAUCCAGCCAUACCGCGUGGGUGAAGAAGGCCUUCGGGUUGUAAAGCCCUUUUGUUGGGAAAGAAAAGCAGCAGGUUAAUACCCCGCUGUUCUGACGGUACCCAAAGAAUAAGCACCGGCUAACUUCGUG
rnacentral:rRNA from 1 species